GUGCUCACUUCGGCAGCACGUAUACUAAAAUUGGAAUGAUACAGAGAAGAUUAGCAUGGCCCCUGCGCACAGAUGACACGAAU
rnacentral:snRNA from 1 species